CCCAGCCAGGCCAUCCAGUGAGGAUGGGAGGGCGGAUCAGUUUCCUCUAGUUCUUUUUCCAGGUGGGAAGCCCAGGCUACCUACUGGCUGAGGAGCUCUCAUGUGACCUGGAGUUUAUUGCAGGCAGCAUUUCUUUCAAGGGGCUUGUCAUCAGACAAGGCCGGGUCCUCUUACCUGCUGAGGGCCCUGGGCCAGUGACUUGGCUCUCCAAGGCCACCCUUUGGAGUUCAGAGGCUGUGAGUAGCCUGCGGCUGAAGCUGGACAAAUAUUGCUUCCUUUGGCCUCCUGAGCCUGAAGCCAGGCCUCCUGGAAAUACAUCGUUGUCAAGCUCCCUUGUUUUGCCAGUCUCUUUUGUUGUCUAAUCCAAGUCCUCCUGUCUGCUGUUCCAGCCUUGCCUUCUGGCUGGAGACCUCUCCAGAGGAGGCCACACUCUGAGCCUGAGGGCUCAGCCUCAGGCCAGCUGGGGACCACAGGGCCUGAGGAUGCAGCUGAGGAUGCAGCUGAGCCCUCCGCCACACUGGGCCCUGUCCUGUCUCCUUUUGCUGCUGCCCUGGCCUCUGACCACGCCAACAACAACGACCCCUUGGCAGUGCCCACCUGGAGAGGAGCCCAACUGGGACCCAGGGCAGGGCACAUUAUGCAGGUCCUGCCCCCCAGGCACCUUCUCAACCUCGUGGGGCUCUAGCCCAUGCCAGCCUCACUCCCGCUGCAGCCCUCGAGGGAGGCUGGAGGCCCAGGCGGGCACAGUGACUCAAGACACACUAUGUGGAGACUGCCAGCCUGGGUGGUUUGCCCCUUCCGAGGUAUCCCAUGUUCCCUGUCAGCCAUGUUCCUGGAAACCUCUGGGUACUCAUGGCUGUUAUGAGUGGGGGCGGCGAGCCCGACGUGGCGUGGAGGUGGCAGCAGGGCCUAGUGGCACUGGGGAGACACAGCAACCUGGGAAUGGUACACGGGCAGGCGGCCCCGAGGAGACAGCUGCCCAGUAUGCGGUUAUUGCCAUCGUGCCUAUCUUCUGCCUCAUGGGACUGCUGGGCAUCCUGGUGUGUAACCUGCUCAAGCGGAAGGGCUACCACUGCACUGCCCACAAGGAAGUCGGGCCUGGUCCUGGAGGUGGAAGCAGCGGGAUCAAUCCUGCCUACCGGCUCGAGGACGCCAAUGAGGACACCAUCGGGGUCCUGGUGCGCCUGAUCACAGAGAAGAAAGAGAAUGCGGCAGCCCUGGAGGAGUUGCUGAAAGAGUAUCACAGCAAACAGCUGAUACAGACCAACCACAGGCCUAUGCCCAGGCUGCCGCCCGAACUCCCCAACAUGCCGCACAUCUGUCCGCAGGACCACCAUCUCCACACCGUGCAGGGCCUAGCCUCACUCUCUGGCCCCUGCUGCUCCCGUUGUAGCCAGAAGAAGUGGCCCGAGGUGCUGCUGUCUCCUGAAGCUGCAGCUGCCACUACUCCCACUCCUAGACCCCUGCCCAACCUGGCCAGGGCUCCCAGGGCCAGCACCAAGGCAGGACGCCAGGGCGAGAUCACCAUCUUGUCUGUGGGCAGGUUCCGCGUGGCCCGAAUUCCUGAGCAGCGGACAAGUUCACUGGCCUCUGAGGUGAAGACCAUCACGGAGGCUGGACCUUCAGGGGGUGAUCUCACUGACUCCCCACAACCUGGCCUCCCCACUGAGCAGCAAGCACUGCUGGGAAGUGGUGGAAGCCAUACUAAGUGGCCAAAGCCCCUUGCAGAGAAGAAGGCCGAGGAGAACCGCUAUGUGGUCCGGCUAAGUGAGAGCAACCUGGUCAUCUGAAGGGCUGUCUUGUCUGAGGACACUGCAGCCCUGCCCAGGGAGGUUCUGAAGGCUUCCUGGAGGAGGUAGAGCUGCAGCUGGGCCUGCGAGGAUCGAGAAGCAAUGGCCCAGCAGACAAAACAGCAAAGGCCAAGGCCUGGAGCAUAUUUCAAGGGCUCGAUAGCCACAUGUGGCUAGUGGCUCCUGUACUGGACAGCACAGCUCCAGAGGAAGUGGAGCCUGGAAGACGGAUGGGGCAUCUGAAUGUUUGACGGCGCUCAAGAGACAUCUGGACUACAAGAACAUCUGGAAGCACUCAGGUGGGCAUUUACACCAGGACUGGACUGGGAGGGGACAAGUUCCAGGGAGAGGGCUCAGGGCAGACUCUAGGCCUGCUCCAGGGCACUGCCAACGGGGUGGGAAGGAAACCAGGAGUGUGCAGUAUGCUGGAAGCCAGGGAAGGACAAGUGUUUGGGUAGCACGGUGGGUCACAAGGCCAGGUGCUGCUGCAGGGUCAGGAAGAAUGCAGUGUCCCAUGGUUUGUGGACACAGGGAUGUAGCAGAAGUCACCACAAGGGAGAGCAGGGCUAGGUCUCAGUGGAUUGAGCUCCGAUAGCUGGUGGGAUCUUAGACUCCAGGGAGAGAGGGCUUCUGAUUCUGGGUUUUCUUGGUGUUUGGUAUAUUCUUUAAAGAUGGAAGAGAGGGAUGCAUUUGAAAGCUAAUGGGAAAGAGGUCCAAGCACCGGAAAGCAACAUUUGAUGGCACCUGAGUAGGUCUCGAAAGGGACUCCUGUGUGAGUCCCGGGCCUGUUGCAGCUGGGAGCAGGUGGUGGUCACGCCGGGAGGAGGACAGGUCUUUCUCCUGGGCGGAAGCCAUGGCAGGGGCCUGGGCAACAGCUUGAGAAAACCACCCUGAGGGGAUGCCGGGCAGGUGUGCCUUGAGAUUCCACCUCUUCCCACCUUUUACCUUUCUAUGCCACAGGCUUCUCUCUGGGGCUUCUCAGAUGGGCAGAAAAGGAAGAGCACCUCUGAGGACCCAGCAGACAAAACUUUACCUGCUCUAGGAAAGGGGAAGGAAGAAGACAGAGGCUGGAUAUCAGGAUUAAUUUUCUGGAGCACCAAAGGUUGCCAAAGUCUAGAACAGGGUGUCUGUUUUGGGAGACUAGUGGGCAUUCCCGAGGAAGUGUUCCCAGGGGCCAUCAAGGUGCACUUGGUGUCCUAUUUGCUAGCUGUUCAGCUGUAUUUCAGGGUUUGACUUCUUGGUGUUCCCUCAGCCAACUCCAUUUCACCUAGGACUUAAAUGACAUACUGGGAUGAAGAUGAGACGUGUUCUCUUGAUGCCUUCUCACCUGGGGCAAGGUACAUCCAGAUGCCAGCCAGGUGGAGCCUGGGAAUGGGUUUCCCAGGCCAAGUAAGGGACACUCCCACUUAGGUGCUAGGCCUGGGGAUAAUGAGUACUGCUCCCCUCCAGAUGCCCCUCCACCCUCCAAUUUUGUUUGCUGGAAGAGAACGGAAUGGCCCUGGCCUCAGUUUCCUCAUCUGCCCCCUUGGGGAUGAAGAAUCAGGGUAGGGGGUGUGUCUGAUGCCUUUGGCCUUCAGGGUCCCACCCUCACCUGGAAGUCUUCCUGGCUUAACCCUCCCAGGCUUGCUUCCUCUGGAUCCUGGCAACCUUGUCAGCUCUCGAGCUCAAGGUAGGCCCAGGCCACUGGCAGGGGUGGGAGCUGGAGGGCAGGGCAAGGCCCUGGGCUGACCAUCCUUCAUCCACAUCCUUUCCCCCGUGGGUCAGAAUGGCAGGUGCUGGUGCUCAGGUUGCCUCCCUGCCUGCUCCUGGUCCUCAGCCCUGGCACUACUUGUGGCCAGAGGUGCUCUCCUCACCCACACCUGACAGCUUUCUGCAUCAAGGGACGGUGAAGGAGUCUGAAGUGAGAAGGGGAAACGGGAGGGUCCUACGGAGGCACAGGGCAUGGUUUGGUGGAAAGGGUUGGAGAGUUAGGAGUCCCGAGUUUUAAUUACAGCUCUAGUGUGAGCCAGAUCACUUAGCCUCUUUGGGCCUGUUUUCUUGUUGAGGAUGUUGAAUACUUGGAGGAGUAGACUGUAAAGGCCAGGCCCUGAGAGGGAAUGGUGGCCAUGAUGACCAGGAAGAAGGGUCUGGGCAGUGGCUUUCCCAGAGGGGAGAAGAGAGAUGGUGUAAAACAGCACUUGAUUAUUCAGACCGAGACCACAAGACUGUCAUUUUGUGAGUACCAAGCCCUUCCCUUGGUCUCCCACCCAACAAGUUUACCUUUUAAGCAAGCUCAGGCAUUGCCUCCUCUGGGGUGGGUAGAAUGUUGGGCUUGGUGCCUGGGCUUUGGAGUCAGACCAAAGUGUGCCUUCCAACUCUGCCUCUCACCAGCUCUGUAACCUUCAUCCAGGUACUUAUCCUCCUUAGCUGUCCCCUAUUGAGGACAAGGCUAAUAACAAGGCUUACUUCCCAUCAUGCUGUGAGGAUUACGAGAGUUACUAAGCAUAAAAUGCAGUGCUAGCUACGUGGUGGGCACUUAGUAGACAUCAGCCUUCAUCAUUCAUGGCCUCCCUGUGCUCCUGUAUCACACACCUUAGUCCAGGUGCUGAUGGCCACUUUCCAGGCCCCUCAACUGUGAGUCCCAGGGAAGCUCUGCUAAGCCUUCGGGGGUGAUGUGGCAUAGCUGUAACUUGACCGGUUUAAAGUUUAGAAUCAAUUUGGGGAGAAGCCCAGGGAACUCACUGGCCCAGGAGGUGGUCUGUGUUCCCCUGCCCCAAGAACCACCAGUCUGGUCACCCAGACUUUUUUUUGGAAACUUUUUUUUUAAUAGUUAUUGAAUGUUCUACAGCUUACAGUAAAUAUCAUAGUUACAAAUUCUUGGCUUCAAUCUUUCAGAGUGAUCACUAUCUGAUCUUCAAAACAAAACAAAAUAAAAACCCAAAAGAAUCCAAAACAACAAAACCAGAUUUACACUUCAUACACACAAGCGAGGCCAUGGGGCUUUCCAAUCUUUAUACUCCAGGCUGUUUUGAAAACACCUAUAAGUUCUUUGAUCAAACUACUUGGAAGACACUGGUCAAAGGUUUAUUAUUUUAAAUGUUUUUCCUUUUAAAAUGUGAGUUCCAAUAAAAUUUAAAAAUUAGA